rnacentral:rRNA from 1 species
GACGAACGCUGGCGGCGCGCCUAACACAUGCAAGUCGAACGAGCGAGAGAGAGCUUUCUUUCUCGAGCGAGUGGCGAACGGGUGAGUAACGCGUGAGGAACCUGCCUCUAAGAGGGGGACAACAGUUGGAAACGACUGCUCAUACCGCAUAAGCCCACGGUGCCGCAUUGCACAGAGGGAAAAGGAGCAAUACGCUUUGAGGUGGCCUCGCGUCCGCUUAGCUAGUUGGUGAGGUAAUGGCCCACCAAGGCGACGAUCAGUAGCCGGACUGAGAGGGUGAACGGCCACAUUGGGACUGAGACACGGCCCAGACUCCUACGGGAGGCAGCAGUGGGGAAUAUUGCACAGUGGGGGAAAGCCUGAUGCAGCGACGCCGCGUGGAGGAAGAAGGUCUUCGGAUUGUAAACUCCUGUUGUUGGGGAAGAUAAUGACGGUACCCAACAAGGAAGUGACGGCUAACUACGUG